rnacentral:lncRNA from 1 species
AUGUCACAAUAUUUGACUAAAGUGAGGUGUGCAGACUGUUUUUUAAAGGGGAAAAUUAUUUUAUGGAGAAACUUUUUUCAUGUAACCACCAUCAUCAUCAUCAUCAUCAUCACUGUCACCAUCAUCAUCACCACUACUGUCACCACCACCAUCACCAUCAUCCUUAUCAUCAUCAUCAUCAUCAUCAUCAUCAUCACCACCACCACCACCACCACCACUGUCACCAUCAUCAUCACCAUCAUCAUCAUCAUCAUCACCACCACCACCACCACCACUGUCACCAUCAUCAUCACCAUCAUCACCAUCACCAUCACCAUCAUCAUCAUCACCACCACCACCACUGUCACCAUCAUCAUCACCACUACUGUUAUAACCACCAUCACCAUCAUCAUCAUCCUUAUCAUCAUCAUCACCACCAAAACCACCAUCAUCAUCAACAUCAUCAUCAUCACCACCACCACCACCACCAUCAUCUUCACCAUUAUGACCACCACCAUCAUCAUCAUCAUCAUCACCAUCACCAACGUCACCACCACCAUCAUCAUCACCACCACCAUCAUCAUUAGCACCAUCACCACCACCACCACCAUCUUCAUCAUCAUCAUCAUCAUAAACACCACAACCACCACCAUCAUCACCGCCAUCAUCAUCAUCAUCGUCACCAUCACCACCAUCGUCAUCACCACCAAAACCACCAUCAUCAUCAACAUCAUCACCACCACCACCACCAUCAUCUUCACCAUUAUGACCACCACCAUCAUCGUCAACACCACCACCACUUUCACCACCACCAUCAUCAUUAGCACCAUCACCACCACCACCACCACCAUCUUCAUCAUCAUCAUCAUAAACACCACAACCACCACCAUCAUCACCGCCAUCAUCAUCAUCAUCAUCAUCGUCACCAUCACCACCAUCGUCAUCAUCACCACCAUCGCCAUCGUCAUAACUAUCACCAUCAACACCACCACCAUCACAAUCGUCAUCACAAUCACCAUAAUUAUCACCACCACCGCCAUCCUCAUCACUAUCAUAGCCAUCAUCAUCAUCAUCAUCAUCAUCACCACCACCAUUAUCAUCAUCAUCAUCAUCAUCAUCAUCACUAUCAUCAUCACCACCACCAUCACCACCAUCAUCUUCAUCGCCGUCAUCACCAUUGUUAUAACUAUCACCAUCACAAUCAUCAUCAUCAUCAUCAUCAUCAUCAGUAUCAUCAUCAUCAUCACCACCACCAUCAUCAUCACCGCCAUCAUCAUCACCACCAUCAUCAUCACAUCCAUCGCCACCAUUAUCAUCGUCAUCAUCACCGUCACCAUUAUUAUCACUAUCACCUCCAUCAUUAUCAUCACCUUCACCAUCAUCAUCACUAUCAUCAUCACCAUCACCAUUAUAAUCACUAUCACUGCCAUCAUCAUCAUCACCACCACCACAUCAUCAUCAUCAUCUUCACCACCAUCACCAUCUUCACCACUAUCAUCACCACCACUACCACCAUCAUCAUCAUCAUCUUCAUCAUCAUCACCACCAAUGCCGUCAUCAUCAUCAUCAUCAUCAUCAUCACCACCACCAUCAUCAUCUUCACCACCACUACCACUAUAA